GCCCUUAGAGUUUGAUCCUGGCUCAGGACGAACGCUGGCGGCGUGCCUAACACAUGCAAGUCGAGGGGACCGCCUGGAAAAUGCCUUCGGGCGUUUUCCGGGUCAGGUUAACCGGCGGACGGGUGAGUAACACGUGGGCAACUUACCCAUGAGACCGGGAUAACAGCCCGAAAGGGCUGCUAAUACCGGAUAAACUUUAAGGUGCGCAUGCACGUCAAAGCAAAGGGAUGCGUUCUGCUCAUGGAUGGGCCCGCGCCCCAUUAGCUAGUAGGUGAGGUAUAGGCUCACCUAGGCGACGAUGGGUAGCCGACCUUAGCGGGUGAUCGGCCACACUGGGACUGAGACACGGCCCAGACUCCUACGGGAGGCAGCAGUGGGGAAUCUUGCGCAAUGGGCGAAAGCCUGACGCAGCGACGCCGCGUGGGCGAAGAAGGCCUUCGGGUCGUAAAGCUCUUUAAAGGGGGAAGAAUUCAGACGGUACCCCUUCA
rnacentral:rRNA from 1 species